rnacentral:rRNA from 1 species
UACGAAGGGUGCAAGCGUUACUCGGAAUUACUGGGCGUAAAGCGUGCGUAGGCGGCUGUUUAAGUCUGGUGUUAAAGCUAGGGGCUCAACCCCUGUGGUGCACUGGAAACUGGGCAGCUUGAGUGCGGUAGGGGAAGGUGGAAUUCCGAGUGUAGCGGUGAAAUGCGUAGAUAUUCGGAAGAACACCGGUGGCGAAGGCGACCUUCUGGGCCGCAACUGACGCUGAGGCACGAAAGCCUGGGGAGCGAACGGG